GAUGAACGCUGGCGGCGCGCCUAAUACAUGCAAGUCGAGCGAACGGACGAGAAGCUUGCUUCUCUGAUGUUAGCGGCGGACGGGUGAGUAACACGUGGAUAACCUACCUAUAAGACUGGGAUAACUUCGGGAAACCGUAGCUAAUACCGGAUAAUAUUUUGAACCGCAUGGUUCAAAAGUGAAAGACGGUCUUGCUGUCACUUAUAGAUGGAUCCGCGCUGCAUUAGCUAGUUGGUAGGGUAACGGCUUACCAAGGCAACGAUGCAUAGCCGACCUGAGAGGGUGAUCGGCCACACUGGAACUGAGACACGGUCCAGACUCCUACGGGAGGCAGCAGUAGGGAAUCUUCCGCAAUGGGCGAAAGCCUGACGGAGCAACGCCGCGUGAGUGAUGAAGGUCUUCGGAUCGUAAAACUCUGUUAUUAGGGAAGAACAUAUGUGUAAGUAACUGUGCACAUCUUGACGGUACCUAAUCAGAAAGCCACGGCUAACUACGUG
rnacentral:rRNA from 1 species